rnacentral:rRNA from 1 species
AUCGAACGCUGGCGGCAGGCCUAACACAUGCAAGUCGAGCGUGCGGCGGACGGGUGAGUAAUGUCUGGGAAACUGCCUGAUGGUGGGGGAUAACUACUGGAAACGGUAGCCAAUACCGCAUACCAUCAGAUGUGUCCAGAGGGGUUUAGCUAGUAGGUGGGGUAAUGGCUCACCUAGGCGACUAUCCCUAACCGGUCCGAGAGGAUGACCAGCGACAGUGGAACUGAGAAACGGUCCAGGGUCCAGCGGGAGGCAGGAGUGGGGAAUGUUGCACAAUGGGCGCAGGCCUGAUGCAGCAAUGCCGCGUGUGUGGAGAGGGACUUCGGGUUGUAAGGCACUAUCAGCGAGGAGGCGUUACUCGCAGAAGAAGCACCGGCUAACUCCGUGCCAGCAGCCGCGGUAAUAC